rnacentral:rRNA from 1 species
UACAGAGGUCUCAAGCGUUGUUCGGAUUCAUUGGGCGUAAAGGGUGCGUAGGCGGCGCGGUAAGUCGGAUGUGAAAUCUCGGAGCUUAACUCCGAAACUGCAUUCGAUACUGCCGUGCUUGAGGACUGGAGAGGAGACUGGAAUUUACGGUGUAGCGGUGAAAUGCGUAGAUAAUCGUAAGGAAGACCAGUGGCGAAGGCGGGUCUCUGGACAGUUCCUGACGCUGAGGCACGAAAGCUAGGGGAGCAAACGGG